CUGUCAAGCUAGAGUGCAGGAGAGGAAGGUAGAAUUCCCGGUGUAGCGGUGAAAUGCGUAGAGAUCGGGAGGAAUACCAGUGGCGAAGGCGGCCUUCUGGACUGACACUGACACUGAGGUGCGAAAGCGUGGGUAGCAAACAGGAUUAGAUACCCUGGUAGUCCACGCCGUAAACGAUGUCGACCAGCCGUUGGGUGCCUAGCGCACUUUGUGGCGAAGUUAACGCGAUAAGUCGACCGCCUGGGGAGUACGGCCGCAAGGUUAAAACUCAAAUGAAUUGACGGGGGCCCGCACAAGCGGUGGAGCAUGUGGUUUAAUUCGAUGCAACGCGAAGAACCUUACCUACUCUUGACAUCCUGCGAACUUGUGAGAGAUCACUUGGUGCCUUCGGGAACGCAGAGACAGGUGCUGCAUGGCUGUCGUCAGCUCGUGUUGUGAAAUGUUGGGUUAAGUCCCGUAACGAGCGCAACCCUUGUCCUUAUUUGCCAGCGGGUAAUGCCGGGAACUCUAAGGAGACUGCCGGUGACAAACCGGAGGAAGGUGGGGACGACGUCAAGUCAUCAUGGCCCUUACGAGUAGGGCUACACACGUGCUACAAUGGCCGGUACAAAGGGUUGCGAGCUCGCGAGAGUCAGCUAAUCCCGAAAAGCCGGUCUCAGUCCGGAUCGGAGUCUGCAACUCGACUCCGUGAAGUCGGAAUCGCUAGUAAUCGUGAAUCAGAAUGUCACGGUGAAUACGUUCCCGG
rnacentral:rRNA from 1 species